rnacentral:rRNA from 1 species
UACAGAGGGUGCAAGCGUUAAUCGGAAUUACUGGGCGUAAAGGGUGCGUAGGUGGUUGAAUAAGUUAGGUGUGAAAGUCCUGGGCUUAACCUGGGGAUUGCGCCUAAUACUGUUUAGCUAGAGUACUGUAGAGGAAGGUGGAAUUUCCAGUGUAGCGGUGAAACGCGUAGAUAUUGGAAGGAACAUCAGUGGCGAAGGCGACUUUCUGGACAGAUACUGACACUGAGGCACGAAAGCGUGGGGAGCAAACAGG